rfam:Schistosoma rodhaini strain Burundi genome assembly, scaffold: SROB_scaffold0012256
AUCCAGUUGGUAAGUCCCAAAUGGGAUGAAACGCGCGUCCUGGAU